UAGGGCGAAAGCCUGAUCCAGCAACGCCGCGUGAGUGAUGAAGGCCCUAGGGUUGUAAAGCUCUUUCGCCAGGGACGAUAAUGACGGUACCUGGAUAAGAAGCCCCGGCUAACUUCGUGCCAGCAGCCGCGGUAAUACGAAGGGGGCUAGCGUUGUUCGGAAUCACUGGGCGUAAAGCGCACGUAGGCGGAUCUUUAAGUCAGGGGUGAAAUCCCGAGGCUCAACCUCGGAACUGCCUUUGAUACUGGAGGUCUCGAGUCCGGGAGAGGUGAGUGGAACUGCGAGUGUAGAGGUGAAAUUCGUAGAUAUUCGCAAGAACACCAGUGGCGAAGGCGGCUCACUGGCCCGGUACUGACGCUGAGGUGCGAAAGCGUGGGGAGCAAACGGGAUUAGAUACCCUGGUAGUCCACGCCGUAAACUAUGGAUGCUAGCCGUUGGGCAGCUUGCUGUUCAGUGGCGCAGCUAACGCUUUAAGCAUCCCGCCUGGGGAGUACGGUCGCAAGAUUA
rnacentral:rRNA from 1 species